rnacentral:rRNA from 1 species
GUACCCGCGGCAAGACGGAAAGACCCCGUGAACCUUUACUAUAGCUUGACACUGAACAUUGAGCCUUGAUGUGUAGGAUAGGUGGGAGGCUUUGAAGCGUGGACGCCAGUCUGCGUGGAGCCGACCUUGAAAUACCACCCUUUAAUGUUUGAUGUUCUAACGUGGACCCGUAAUCCGGGUUGCGGACAGUGUCUGGUGGGUAGUUUGACUGGGGCGGUCUCCUCCUAAAGAGUAACGGAGGAGCACGAAGGUUGGCUAAUCCUGGUCGGACAUCAGGAGGUUAGUGCAAUGGCAUAAGCCAGCUUGACUGCGAGCGUGACGGCGCGAGCAGGUGCGAAAGCAGGUCAUAGUGAUCCGGUGGUUCUGAAUGGAAGGGCCAUCGCUCAACGGAUAAAAGGUACUCCGGGGAUAACAGGCUGAUACCGCCCAAGAGUUCAUAUCGACGGCGGUGUUUGGCACCUCGAUGUCGGCUCAUCACAUCCUGGGGCUGAAGUAGGUCCCAAGGGUAUGGCUGUUCGCCAUUUAAAGUGGUACGCGAGCUGGGUUUAGAACGUCGUGAGACAGUUCGGUCCCUAUCUGCCGUGGGCGCUGGAGAACUGAGGGGGGCUGCUCCUAGUACGAGAGGACCGGAGUGGACGCAUCACUGGUGUUCGGGUUGUCAUGCCAAUGGCACUGCCCGGUAGCUAAAUGCGGAAGAGAUAAGUGCUGAAAGCAUCUAAGCACGAAACUUGCCCCGAGAUGAGUUCUCCCUGAGACUUAGAGUCUCCUGAAG